UACAGAGGGGGCAAGCGUUGUUCGGAAUUACUGGGCGUAAAGGGCGCGUAGGCGGCCUUCUAAGUCAGACGUGAAAUCCCUCGGCUCAACCGGGGAACUGCGUCUGAGACUGAAAGGCUUGAAUCCGGGAGAGGAAUGCGGAAUUCCAGGUGUAGCGGUGAAAUGCGUAGAUAUCUGGAGGAACACCGGUGGCGAAGGCAGCUCGCUGGGACGUUACUGACGCUGAGACGCGAAAGCGUGGGGAGCAAACAGG
rnacentral:rRNA from 1 species